ACCUUAGAUGUUCUGGGCCGCACGCGUGCUACACUGAGUAAAUCAAUGGGUAAGGGAACACGAAAGUGCAACCUAAUCUUGAAAUUUGCUCGUGAUGGGGAUCGACGGUUGCAAUUUUCCGUCGUGAACGAGGAAUACCUUGUAGGCGCGUGUCAUCAUCACGCGCCGAAUACGUCCCUGCCCUUUGUACACACCGCCCGUCGCUCCUACCGAUUGAGUGAUCCGGUGAGGCUCUGGGACCUGGACGGAAAGAGCGUUUCGCUUGUUCUGUUUGGGAAACUUGGUCGAACCUUAUCAUUUAGAGGAAGGAGAAGUCGUAACA
rnacentral:rRNA from 1 species